rnacentral:rRNA from 1 species
AUUGAACGCUGGCGGCAGGCCUAACACAUGCAAGUCGAACGAGUGGCGGACGGGUGAGUAAUGUCUGGGAAACUGCCCGAUGGAGGGGGAUAACUACUGGAAACGGUAGCUAAUACCGCAUACCAUCGGAUGUGCCCCGAUGGGAUUAGCUAGUAGGUGGGGUAACGGCUCACCUAGGCGACGAUCCCUAGCUGGUCUGAGAGGAUGACCAGCAACACUGGAACUGAGACACGGUCCAGACUCCUACGGGAGGCAGCAGGGGGGAAUAUUGCACAAUGGGCGCAAGCCUGAUGCAGCCAUGCCGCGUGUAUGAAGAAGGCCUGCGGGUUGUAAAGUACUGUCAGCGAGGAGGCGUUACUCGCAGAAGAAGCACCGGCUAACGCCGUGCCAGCAGCCGCGGUAAUUC